UUAGAAAACGAACAACAACAUUCGAUUCAAUUCCUUCAAUCAUUACAUGAACAAACCAAGACAACAUUAUCAAAUCCCCUCCUUUAACAAAGCCAUUGAAGAACCUUGUGGGGACUCUCUGCCAUUAUAAUGGAGAUUUAGCUUUUCCUUCUCAUCAUCGUCUUCUUCUUCUUCAUCUUCUUCUUCUUCAUCUUCUUCUUCAUCUUCAUCUUCUUCUUUAAGUCUUAAAUUCCCUAUAUAGGUUUUCUCUUGUGUUGUGUUGUAUUUAUUGCACUUCCUUCUUUCCUGUGUUCUUCUGUCUUUUUCUUAUCUGUCUCGUUUCCACCGCCAUUUUUAAUUCCUAAUUUUCUCUAUGUUUAAUCGUGAAUUCCAAAAACCCCAUUAACCCAUUUCCCCUUUUCUUUGAUUAAUUCGCUGAAAGCUUAUGGUUUGAGCUAAAGGACAAUUUUUUUUAACAUUAAACCCCAUUGGGUACUUAUCAAUGGCUGUGCCCGCAUCUACAACCACAACUACCACCACCAACGCUUCUACUAAUUCCAUUUCUUCUUCUUCUUCUUCUUCUAUUCCUAAUCAACCCACUAAGCUUAAGCGUCGAAAGUGUCGAGAUAUCACUGUUUCCGCUAAAUCUGACUCGUUUUCAUCUUCUUCUUCCAAUUCCUCAUCUGGGUUACAAGGAUUUUCUCAUCGAAAGCUUGAUCGCCCUGUUGUCAUUGUUCCUUCAGAGAAUUCUUGGUGUUGUCCUGCUUCUAAACCCUCUUCAACCCCUCCUGCUCUUCCUCUUCCUCCUCCUCCGCCGCCCCCACCUCCGCCUCCGUCGGAUUCUCAUCGAAGGGUUACUUCUCCCACACCCACUAACGGGAAUCGAACAUCGGAUUCGGUAAUAUCGCCUUCUGAUUCACCGUCUGCUUUCCGGAUACGGUUUUCUCCUGGAACUCUUUCUCCGGUAAUGGAUUUCACGACGUCUUCUUCCGGUGCUGCGUUUAAUGGUCAUUCUGGAUCGAGUCAUGACUCUUUCCCUUCUGGGUUUUCGAAGUUCAACUCCGCUCUGACCGCCGGGCUUUUGAACCCAAUGUCGCCGCCGCCGUCUACUGAUAAAACCCGAUCGAGUCCGACCCUUUUUGAAAUGAUGGCUAGUGAGCCUGAUAUUCACCCUAGAACUUCUCAGAUCCCUCCCCAGGUUGCCUCUGUUUCGGUUCAUAAGAAUCAAGUUCCUAUUCAGGACAAGCAGGCGUUGAUGAUGCAGAGGAUUUCUGAGAUUUUGGGAUCUCGGAGCCCUGGAAAUCAGUUCAAUGACGCUUCUAGCAGUGACAUUAAGCUCACAUUGAGUUCUAGAGAUGGGAUCAGUGUAUCGAUGAGUGUUCACCGGCAAAUUCUUGUUGCUCAUAGUCGGUUUUUCGCAUUGAAGCUCUCGGAACGGUGGGCGAAACAACAGCGGUCUCCGUCUCCAUACAUUGUGGAGAUUGCUGACUGUGAUGAUGUUGAAGUGUACAUUGAAACCUUGAAAUUGAUGUAUUGUAGAGAUCUGAGGAAGAGGCUGAUGAAGGAAGACGUUCCCAGAGUUCUUGGAAUUCUGAAGGUCUCGGCUGCUAUUGGAUUUGAUGCGGGUGUUUUAUCUUGUUUGGAGUACUUGGAAGCCGCCCCAUGGGCCGAGGAUGAAGAAGAGAAGGUGGCUUCACUCUUAUCUGAGCUGCACCUUGAAGGUGUUGCAGCAGGGGAAGUUCUAAAGAGGGUCUCGGUUGAAGUUACCAAUGGACCUGAAGAUGGCAACGACAAUGAAGAAGUGUUACUGAAGCUUCUACAUGUAGUUCUUGAAGGAAAAGACGAGAAGGCAAGACGGGAGAUGAAAGGAUUAGUUUCAAAGAUGCUUCGUGAGAGUUCCUCGCAAAAUGACCUUCGAAAAGAAUCCUUGUAUUCAGCUUGUGAUGGUUGUCUGCAGUUGCUCCGCAAUCAAUUUAUGCGAGCGGUAGGGUCGGAUUUUCAUGGUGUUGGGGAGAUUGCUAAGCAAGCUGAUAAUUUGCAUUGGAUUUUAGAUAUCUUGAUUGAUAGACAGAUUGCUGAAGAUUUUUUAAAAACCUGGGCAUCUCAAUCUGAAUUGUCAGCUGCACACUCUAAGGUGCCUGCCGUUCACAGAUUUGAGAUCAGUCGAGUUACAGCUCGGUUAUUUGUUGGUAUCGGAAAAGGCCAACUCCUGGCUCCUAAAGAUGUGAGAUAUCAGCUUUUGCAGACCUGGUUGGUGCCAUUUUAUGAUGAUUUUGGUUGGAUGAGGAGAGCAUCGAGAGGCCUCGAUCGCCACCUCAUUGAGGAUGGUCUUAGCAAUACAAUUCUCACUCUACCAUUAGCUUGGCAACAAGACAUAUUGCUAGCUUGGUUCAAUAGAUUCAUGAAUUCAGGUGAAGAUUGUCCUAAUAUACAACGAGGGUUCGAAGUCUGGUGGAGAAGGGCCUUCUGGAGACGCAGUGGUGAACAAGAACGACCUCGACCAAUUCGAAUUGCCACCCCAUCGACAGAGAAUUCGUGAAGCGCUCUUGUUUCAAAGGACAUAUAGCUUAGUUCAUAAUAACUAAUGGGUUUGUUCUUUCUCUGAUCACUGGAGGCCUCAUUCCUUGGUAUUGGUUAGUUAGGAUCUUCUUCCUUCCUAAACCAGGAGCAUCCUAUGGAAGACCCAAUGUACCUGAGGUUAGGUUGGAAGAAGAUAAUAAAUGCUAUAUAUUUCACACGUAACAAAACGAAAUGAAACAGAUGUCAUCGGCAAGGCAAUUCCCAAGAGGAGUGUACAACGGAUGAUACCGAAACUCAUAUUGUUAAAUACGAUGAGCGAAGAUUUGAUCAACCAAUCCAUGUUUGUCCUCUGCCUUGUCAUUUGAUAUGUUGCAAGAAGAGAAAGGGAGAGAAACAAGUGUGAGUGAUGUUUAUGAGUUGCAAGUUGCAAUCAAACUUAACAGUGGUUGGAAUAGAUAUAGAUAGUUGGAAGUUGAAAUCUGGUUUGGUUUGUUUGAGAAUCAUAAGUUGUAUAUGUUUUGGCUUUUUUUUUUUUUUUUUUUUUUUUUUGACUUUUUAGUUUGGAAUGAUGUUCUUUGCAGCACGUUUGGUGAAAGAACAUUGCGUUGAUUGUUCCUUUCCCAUUCUGCCAAAAAGUUUGCUUCCUUAAAGUAUUCAAUGAAUAAUAUUCCAUUUGGAAUCAUAUUUACAUCUCA